CAAAUAUCUUGAUAGGAGCUUCAUGACCUAUCAAUAUUUUUAGCUUAUUUCCUUCCUUAACUGGUGCUCUUUCUACAUGUAGUAUCAAUUUUAAUUUCUUGAUUUUUUAAAUUUCACCUAAGUACAUCCUUCAGCUGAAUCAUCUUUAGAGCUUCUCCUUUAUAUAAUUGUCCAACCAAUAUGGCUACCAAUAUUAUUAUCAUCAUUUACCUUUUAUUUAGUAAAUAUUUCAGUUAUGAGCAGAAAUGACUCAUUGUGUCUUUAAGAUGUAAAACUGCAAUAUUAGUAUGGUGGUUUUGCUUAAAGUUUUGCCCUGGGGUAUGCUUAUAAAGACCUGUGCAUUUUGUAAAUCUUCAUUUGUCACUUGCUUGAUUUUAUGUGGUAGAAAGAUAUAUUUAAUACCUCCAAUGUUUGACUAGUGCUGAUACACUUUCGCUUUAUUUUUUUAUUAAGAAAUGAUGUAAAUAUGUGUUUACAAUGACCCCCAUUUGUUAAGAGUUAUUCAGGAAUCUUGACUGGAAAAUUUACUGGAUAAACUUUUAUUGUCCUAUGAAUUUAUGCAAUACAUUUGAUGUUCUAUUUUUCAUAUCUCUAAAAAGAAUUAGGUCAAAUUUUGAAAUAAUUUUGACCACAAAAUUCUGUUUGAUAAUCUAACGUUUAAAAAUUGUCCUUGAGGGUUUUACAGUAUGGGUAUCUUAUGAAUACAAUCUUCCUUAAUAUCAAAAAGUCAAGAUUUGUACAGCAUACAAAAUAUUGUUUCAAAACUUGUGACACGAUAUACAUGUACUGAUAUGUGAUAUUAUACUUUCUAUUUUUUGAACAGGGUGAUAAUUUUUACAUGUUUUACUCAGUUCUAUUUUUAAUGACUAGGGUCAUUUCAUUAAUUGUUUUAAUUUAUAAUUUUCUAAAUUUCAUGAUUUACCUAGGUUUUUUUUCCAAAUCAAAUGAAGUAUGAUAGUAUGAUAAAAAAUAAAAAUUUAAAAAAAUGUAUGCAUAAAGAUCUGAAGUAUUUGGGUUGAUAUUGAAAGAAUGUUGUAUUAGAAUCAUACUUUGGACAUGUACUAAAUACUUUAAAAUGAAUGCCAUAAUCACAAUGUUUAUAUAAAGCUAUAAACCUACU
rnacentral:lncRNA from 1 species